UGGCAGGUGAGGUGAUAUAAAGACUCCCAAUCAUUUUAUAUAACACUUGCCUGUAAGUAUAUGUUACAAAAAAGCAAAUGAAAAACUUAUAGUUCCUCAUUUAAAAUUUAAAAAAAAUCUGUUUAAUUCACUUGUAAUUUCUAAAUUACUUAAAAUAUGAAAUAAAAAUAGAUAUUGACCUUGAUAUAAAAAACAGAAAGAGUAAAAGAAAGUUAAUACCAGUAGUUAACGCUGUUUAAAAGUCAUAAAUCGAUUACGAGAACAAAUCCCGUUUACAAACUAAAACCAAAGAAAACACAUCCUCAAUUGUAAGAGGAAAGCAAAGGAACAAACACAAACAUACAUAGAACAAACACUAGAUCAAAUUAUCUACCAUAUUCCUCACUUGGUACAGGAUAUUUUAAGAAAAAUGGUGCGUUAAACCCGGAUUCAAGACUAACCAAACUAUAUUCUUUCCAAGAGUGUCAUGUGUAUUAUCUCUUCCGAAUGACGUUAUCCUAAUCCAUUGAUGCACCCAUACCCGGAUGAUACUAUUGUAAAAGGUAUGUUGUAAAUCUUAUUAGUACCGAGGUAAUAACUACAGAACAAUUAAAUAUGUUUUAUAUAUAUGAAUAAAAAAAGAAGCUUUAAACAUAAUAAAGGAACUUAACCAUGAUUAAAAUAAGAAUUAUAUCGAUGAGAUUUCAGCGGUGACUCGUAAAAUCCGACAAUAGACAUCUAAAUGACACUUUGAUAAAAAACGGCCGGUUUUUGUAAAUAUAAAUGUUUAUAGAUAUAAGAUGAUGUGGUUUGAGUUGCAAUGAGAAAACACUCCAUCCGAGUCACAAUUUGUAAAAGUAAACCAUAAUUGGCCAAAACACGGUCGUCAUAACGGAGCAUUGACUCGCAUCGAAUAGCAAGCUAUUAAACUUCAAAUCUACUACUGUAAAACCAUCCAAACAAGAAAAAAACUACAGUCUAAUUUGUUUUUAAAAAAAAACCAAAAAACAGAAACAACAUAAUCAAACAACAACCACUGAUCAUCAGGUUCCUGACUUAGAACAGGUGUUAACACAUGCAGUAGGUUAUUACGUUAUAAUCGGUGCCAACCGUCAACUGACCUGAAACAAUAGUGUAACAUUAAAAUAUAGAAAGGCACACUUUAAAAUAUCAAUUGACAUGGCUUAUCUUAAUCAAAAGAUAUAUUACCAAAUAAUUUCCAAAGGUAAUAGGCUUAUACUUUAAUACGCCGGAAGCGCUUUUCGUCUACAUUAGAUUUAUUAGUGACGCUCAGAUCAAAAUAGUUAUAAAGCCAAAAAAGUACAAAGUGGAAGAGCAUAAGAAAGUGAACAUACACUGAAAAACAAAAUUUGAUCUUUGGUACAAUUUAAAUACAACAUUUUAUAUAAUUGUUUAUUUUCUAAGAG
rnacentral:lncRNA from 1 species